GAUGAACGCUAGGCGGGAGGCUUAACACAUGCAAGUCGAGGGGCAGCACUGAUAGCAAUAUUAGGUGGCGACCGGCGGGACGGGUGAGUAACGCGUAUGCAACCUACCCUUUACAGGGGGAUAGCCCGGAGAAAUUCGGAUUAAUACCCCAUAGAUCAGUGAUUCUGCAUGGGAUUACUGGUAAAGCUUCGGCGGUAAAGGAUGGGCAUGCGUCCCAUUAGCUAGUUGGUAGGGUAACGGCCUACCAAGGCAACGAUGGGUACGGGGGUCUUAAGGGGAUGGACCCGCACACUGGCACUGAGACACGGGCCAGACUCCUACGGGAGGCAGCAGUGAGGAAUAUUGGUCAAUGGGGGGGAACCCUGAACCAGCCAUCCCGCGUGCAGGAAGACAGUUCUAUGGAUUGUAAACUGCUUUUCUUGGGGAAGAAUAAUGACGACGUGUCGUCAGAUGACGGUACCCGAGGAAUAAGCAUCGGCUAACUCCGUG
rnacentral:rRNA from 1 species